CAUUUAUUUAAUUUGAAAAGUAUACAAUGUUUGGGGACAAAGUCAAUUGUUGUGGUAUUUCAAUAAACUACAGAAUAUUUGCAGGCAUUUCAACUCUGACCAUCCCUGUGCAGUUCCAAGCAAACAAAAUGGACUCAAUUUGGAUAAAUACUGACAAACCAAGGGACAUUGUUUAACGUUUAUGAGCCAAAGAAGAACGAUCUAAACUUUGCACUCAAAGAAGAAGUGUGAAAGCCAAGAUUGGGAAGCUACUGUUCACUGUUGUCAGCAAGCUCUUAUUGUUUGCACUUUGAGUUUUGACACCUCCACAUUUGAACUAUGUAUUGCUGGAGCUAUCAUUGUCAAGUUUCCUGUUUUGGGGAGCUCAUCUCCGGGACCUUCCAAUACCAAAGUUUUUGGCCAUUUUGUCAGCAUGGGAUUUUCCAAUAAUGGGGGCAAACUACUUUGAAGCUACUGUCAAAUGGUUGCCAAAGCUAUUCAGGAACAUGGCGAGGAAAGCGCCGAUUCAAUCCGUCACAUCAUUGUUUUCAGCAAUAGUACUAUCUUCAACUGUCGAGAUCUCAGCCUCAUUCUGUUUUACAUGCUUUGACAGUCCUUUGAGAUCAGAUAGACAAGUUUCUUAGCUCCAUGAUGAAAACAUGUCAUUGUUACUUUCCUUUUUCUCUUUUUCCUGUGCAAUCAUACAAUAAAAACAAAUGUGAGGGCAAGCGUGUUGCUGAGACCUUGAUGUUUGACUAUCAUCGGCAACAUGGGAUAGCUUCUGGGCACAGUUUUUACUGCCUAUGCUUUCUGUUUUCAAAAAAGGCUCAGGGAGAUUUUCCUUAAGCAGGAUAAUCUUAUCCAAGGCCGUUUCCUUGCUGAGCUGACAAAGCAAGUGUUUUCUGAUCUUUCUGCCAGUAAAUAUCAGAUGGCUGAGCACAGAAUAUCAAAAUAUGGCAAGAAGCAAAGUGAGUGGGACCAAAUGGCUAGUUGGAUAGUGAACAAUGAAUUGUACAGUGAGAAUGUUGUAUGGUUGAUACAGCUGCCACGGCUGUACAAUAUAUACCAGGAAAUGGGAUAUAUUGUACAUACUGUAUCAUUAUGUGAUAGGUUCAAGAUGCAUCCAGUGGCCAUGAAAUUAGAAGGGAGUCCAUAGGAGAAGGAGUUCAUCCAGAUUCAACUAGUGAUCAAGAAAUUGAGCACGCUCCAGUACUCACCAAGCCCUCUAGUUAAUGAUAAAUAGUAUUGUGGUCAAGUCUGCUUUUGAACAAUAUUAAGUUUGGGAAUGUUUCUUCCAGAGUUUCAGUUAUCUAGUAUGGUAGAUUCUUAGUAGAUUCGUAUAAUU